CAAAACAAAAUCAAUUUUGCUGUAUUAGAAGUCUGAAAUAAUUUUUCAAGAGAAAAAAAACAACAACACACAUGCAGUUGCUUUAACAAAGUCAAUGUCACUAUGUAACAAAACAAACAAAAAAACCUUAGAUGGUUUUGGAUACCAGGCCAUAUUCCAGAUCAACUAAUUAUAACUUGCCCCACACUCCACCUAAUUUAAUACAUUCAUUGCAAUACCACGUAAUGCCACUAGGGAGCAGCACAGAUAAAGGAAUAUCCUCCUGCGUUUAAAAACAAUCUCAUCUGACCGCCUCGGUCAAGACGUGAAAACUUGUCAUGAAACAAAUUAGAAGCUAACAGAAAAAAUAACACUUUCAAAAAACAAUGAUACAUUUACACAAUAAGGAGCAACAUGAUCCCAGUGAAGCAUAAACACAAGAUCCACCAAUUAGCCUUCACAUAAAAACCUGAAAUGAAGCGACUGAAGACAUGAAGGGUGCAGGACGUCCUCUUUAAUGGAGGCCCAAGCCAUGCGUGGUGUGGUGAAGCUGGCGGCCCAGUCCCCUGUAGAGG